rnacentral:rRNA from 1 species
AUUGAACGCUGGCGGCAUGCUUUACACAUGCAAGUCGAACGGUAACAGGCCGCAAGGUGCUGACGAGUGGCGAACGGGUGAGUAAUGCAUCGGAACGUGCCCAGUCGUGGGGGAUAACUACUCGAAAGAGUAGCUAAUACCGCAUACGAUCUAUGGAUGAAAGCGGGGGACCGUAAGGCCUCGCGCGAUUGGAGCGGCCGAUGUCAGAUUAGGUAGUUGGUGGGGUAAAGGCUCACCAAGCCAACGAUCUGUAGCUGGUCUGAGAGGACAACCAGCCACACUGGGACUGAGACACGGCCCAGACUCCUACGGGAGGCAGCAGUGGGGAAUUUUGGACAAUGGGCGCAAGCCUGAUCCAGCAAUGCCGCGUGCAGGAAGAAGGCCUUCGGGUUGUAAACUGCUUUUGUACGGACGAAACGGCUCUGGUUAAUACCCGGGGCUAAUGACGGUACCGUAAGAAUAAGCACCGGCUAACUACGUG